GUUCCCUUGGAUAAACGGUCUCUCCUCCCUCCUCUGGGAACCUAAAGCCUGAAUGAUCUGCAGACUUGACAGGGAUAGAGAGCUGGACUUAGAACACCCAGUGGCUGAAGAUGGAGCAUCCUUUAUUUAGCACAGGUCAUCAGAAACAAGGGAAGUCUGAGAAACUAUCACAGCCCAGGGGAGCCUAAGAGACAUGACCCCUCAGGUCACAUGGCUGCUGGAAGGAAUCCUGGAACAGAAAAAACACACUAGGAAAAAACUAAAGGAAUCUGAAUAAGGGCUGAGGCUUAUUCGAUUAAAGGAUAAAGGUAAAUUGAUCAAAUAUGUGGACCUUCGGAGUUUAUUUUUAUCACUGCCAAGCCAAUUUUGAAAUGCAGCCAUCUGAUUGGAUUUUCCUCUCUGUGGUCCCUGUGAAGGACAAAAAGUGGAUGAGAGAGAGGCCUGAUGCCUGGCCAUGGGGAGGCACGGUUGGCCAGUUUCCAUUUUCAGUUUUCCUGAAGCUGCUAUGAUCUGGAGAGCUCAAGCCAGCAUCCGGAAAGCCCCUUCUAACGGAGCACCCAGUGAUUUCAUGACAAGCUGACUUUGAAGCUUGCACAGAGUUAAUAAAAAGACACUUCGCUUUGCAGACUCAACCUGCUCAGCCUUUUCCCAUUAGCAUUCCUCCUUUCAACUUGGGGUUCCUGUGGCCUGUCCCCCUUUCUUACCUCUGUGUCCUUCAUUGUCCCAUUACCCAGGUGGUUGAGGUUUCAGGAGAAUGAGAAGGGGCGGAGAAAAAGCUGAGGGAUGUGGGGGCAGAAGAGGGACCAUGGGUUUUCAUUUCAGCUGUGUUCCUAAUCCCACCCCCAGCUUGUUUCCAGAGGCUUCUGUGGCUGGGGAGAGGCCAGCUGCCUUCCUGCUCCAAAAUGCCCAGUAUUCAUCACAGUUUAUUGUUUUGGACUAUCACCAGCAACAAAAAUCAUAGCAAGUGGUAAAAUUAAUGAGGGGCAUUUUCUGUGCCCAAAGUGCACUGAAGCCGUACAUUCCUUGCCUCACUGAAUCCUCACAACAACCCUAUAGUAAGUGUUAUUAUUAUGCUUUGAGAUACAGGGUAACUGAGGUUCGGCAAGUUUAAGUAACUAGCACAAGUAGUAGAACUUGGAUUUGACCUUUCCUUUUGACCCUGGGCCCUGGGUGUGCAAUCAUGACAUUAAACUGCU